rnacentral:rRNA from 1 species
GACGAACGCUGGCGGCGUGCUUAACACAUGCAAGUCGAACGGAAAGGCCCUUUUGGGGGUACUUGCGUGGUGCACGGGUGGGUAACACGUGAGUAACCUCCCCUUGACUUCCUGCUUACUUCCGGAAACUGGCGCUAAUACCCGAUAGGUAUUCUUGCUGCAUGUUGGGGGUUGGAUAGCUUCGGCGGUUUUGGAUGGACUCGCGGCUUAUCAGCUUGUUGGUGGUGUAGUGGCUUACUAAGUCUGUGACGGGUAGCCGGCCUGGGCGGGCGACCGGCCACAAUGGGACUGAGAGACGGCCCAGACGCCAACGGGAGGCAGUAGUGGGGAAUAUUGCACAAUGGGGGGGAGCCUGAUGCAGCAACGCCGGGUGCGGGAUGACGGGCUUCGGGUGGUAAACCGCUGUCAGCAGGGGAGGAGCAUGUGGUGACGGUACCUGCAGAAGAAGCACCGGCUAACUACGUG